GACGAACGCUGGCGGCGUGGAUUAGGCAUGCAAGUCGAACGGUAUCAUCCUUUCGGGGGUGAGAGAGUGGCGAACUGGUGAGUAACACGUAGGUUAUCUACCCUCAAGACGGGGACAACCCAGGGAAACUUGGGCUAAUACCGGAUGUGAGCAACUUUUAGUUGUUUGAAAGGUGGCGUAAGCUGUCGCUUGGGGAUGAGCCUGCGUCCUAUUAGUUAGUUGGUGAGGUAACGGCUCACCUAGGCAAUGAUAGGUAGGCGGCCUUAACGGGUGGUCGCCCACACUGGGAUUGAGAUACGGCCCAGACUCCUACCGGGAGGCAGCAGUCGAGAAUAGUCUACAAUGGUCGGAAGACUGAUAGUGCGACGCCGCGUGAACGAUGAAUCCCUUCGGGGUGUAAAGUUCUUUUAUAUGUGAGCAGUGCUUCUUAUAUUAACAGUAUGGGGAGAGAGAUAUUAGCAUAUGAAUAAGCAACGGCUAACUCCGUGCCAGCAGCCGCGGUAAACUCGU
rnacentral:rRNA from 1 species